rnacentral:rRNA from 1 species
GACGAACGCUGGCGGCGUGCUUAACACAUGCAAGUCGAACGGAAAGGCCCUGCUUUUGUGGGGUGCUCGAGUGGCGAACGGGUGAGUAACACGUGAGUAACCUGCCCUUGACUUUGGGAUAACUUCAGGAAACUGGGGCUAAUACCGGAUAGGAGCUCCUGCUGCAUGGUGGGGGUUGGAAAGUUUCGGCGGUUGGGGAUGGACUCGCGGCUUAUCAGCUUGUUGGUGGGGUAGUGGCUUACCAAGGCUUUGACGGGUAGCCGGCCUGAGAGGGUGACCGGCCACAUUGGGACUGAGUUACGGCCCAGACUCCUACGGGAGGCAGCAGUGGGGAAUAUUGCACAAUGGGCGGACGCCUGAUGCAGCAACGCCGCGUGCGGGAUGACGGCCUUCGGGUUGUAACCCGCUUUCGCCUGUGACGAAGCGUGAGUGACGGUAAUGUGUAAAGAAGCACCGGCUAACUACGUG